AGCAGCCGCGGUAAUUCCAGCUCCAAUAGCGUAUAUUAAAGUUGUUGCAGUUAAAAAGCUCGUAGUUGAAUUUCGGGAUCGAAUUGUUGGUCGUGCUUCGGUACGCACUGGCAUUAUCGGUUCCUACCUUCUGAAGAACCGCGAUGUCAUUAAUUUGGUGUCGUGGGGAAUCAGGACUGUUACUUUGAAAAAAUUAGAGUGUUUAAAGCAGGCUUACGCUUGAAUACAUUAGCAUGGAAUAAUGAAAUAGGACGUUUGAUUCUAUUUUGUUGGUUUCUAGGAUCGACGUAAUGAUUAAUAGGGAUAGUUGGGGGCAUUAGUAUUCAAUUGUCAGAGGUGAAAUUCUUGGAUUUAUUGAAGACUAACUACUGCGAAAGCAUUUGCCAAGGAUGUUUUCAUUAAUCAAGAACGAAAGUUAGGGGAUCGAAGACGAUCAGAUACCGUCGUAGUCUUAACCAUAAACUAUGCCGACUAGGGAUCGGAUGAUGUUAAUUUUUUAAUGACUC
rnacentral:rRNA from 1 species